CUCCCUCUCUCCCUCCCUUCCUACUAAAAACCAAUAAGGCUAGGGAGCCUAUCUGCAUAGUUCUGUGAAUGUCUCGGAACAAAGCAAUACACAGAAGCUAAUGCUCUCAUCCUGUGUAAGAUACAAAUCUUGUCACAUCAUGGACCAUCGUGGAGCAUGAAGCUAUUUCUAAUGUGAUGGGGGAAAUGUUUCUAGCAGAAGAGCAAGACAUGGUCCUGGUGCAUGAAAGGAGCCUAAGAAAGAAGAGUGAAAGCUGCACGUGUUCUACCUCCAGAAAGCCAUAAAAGAGAAAAGAAUGUUGUACCAAACUAAGCAAAUGAAGCAUGAAAUGAAAAGCCGGUUGAGCUGGGAGGUAUAAAGAAUGGAAAGGAAGCAGCUACCACCCCUGGUAACCCCAUCAAUCCGGAGAAGCUUCGCAGAGUUACACUGUGCUCUGUCGGGAAGGAAAUGAAUUUUCCUCAUUGUACACAUUCCGAGAAAAAUGAGGCUAAGACUAUUUCAAAGGAUGUUCUACCUAAUUCGAAUGGGCUUUAAGUGCCAUCUUCACAAUAGCGCCAGAGUCUGGUGUCAGCAAACUGAACAAAUAGAGCUACAGGGAGCGAAUGGGGCUGGGUGCCUCUCCAAAACAUAUGCAGAUGAACUUGAGAUUUCAGAGGACGGUUAAUCCUACACAGCAGUCAAGUGCCUUCCCAGGGGUAUGUCUCAGAUCUCAGGGCUCCCUUCCAAACACUGGCUGCCACGUCAAACCAAAGGGGACGAGCAAUCAGACUCACCUCAAACGCCAGUUAAGAAAGCCGGCCUUACUUAAGCAAUCAAGGGCAAGUGAUCAGCCAACUCUGCUUUCUUUCCUUUCUCUUGGAUCAUUUAUAGACCUUGUGGCCGUGGCCACCACAUUGAGAAGCCCUUGGUCUCUACUUGGACUCACUAUAGCAGGU
rnacentral:lncRNA from 1 species